AUUACAAGAAGGGUAAAUGCGGCACAGUUAAGAUAUUUUGAGAGUGAGAGACCAUAUUCCCUUAACUUUUGUUAGAGUAUAUUUUUAUUGGUCAUCAGAGUCAAACUGCUUAAUGUAGUUGAAGUGCUGUGAAGCACUGUAUACAUCUCACCAUUUAGCACCUGCUUGCUGCAAGAAAGGAAGGGACUUUCAGUACAAAUAAGAGACCAGCAUCACUUUUCUUUGAGAAGCUCUUGGAAGAAAAGAUAACUCAGAAAGACUGAGGCCCACUUUGGACUUUACUGUGUGAAAGAGAAUAAUCUCAGACAUGGCAAGUUUAGAGAGUAUCACCAUGCCAGGUGGUCUGCCGCUGAU